rnacentral:sRNA from 1 species
AAGUCGUAACAAGGUCUCCGUAGGUGAACCUGCGGAGGGAUCAUUACAAGAACGCCCGGGCUUCGGCCUGGUUAUUCAUAACCCUUUGUUGUCCGACUCUGUUGCCUCCGGGGCGACCCUGCCUUCGGGCGGGGGCUCCGGGUGGACACUUCAAACUCUUGCGUAACUUUGCAGUCUGAGUAAACUUAAUUAAUAAAUUAAAACUUUUAACAACGGAUCUCUUGGUUCUGGCAUCGAUGAAGAACGCAGCGAAAUGCGAUAAGUAAUGUGAAUUGCAGAAUUCAGUGAAUCAUCGAAUCUUUGAACGCACAUUGCGCCCCCUGGUAUUCCGGGGGGCAUGCCUGUUCGAGCGUCAUUUCACCACUCAAGCCUCGCUUGGUAUUGGGCAACGCGGUCCGCCGCGUGCCUCAAAUCGUCCGGCUGGGUCUUCUGUCCCCUAAGCGUUGUGGAAACUAUUCGCUAAAGGGUGUUCGGGAGGCUACGCCGUAAAACAACCCCAUUUCUAAGGUUGACCUCGGAUCAGGUAGGGAUACCCGCUGAACUUAAGCAUAUCAAUAAGCGGAGGAAAAGAAACCAACAGGGAUUGCUCUAGUAACGGCGAGUGAAGCAGCAAUAGCUCAAAUUUGAAAUCUGGCGUCUUCGACGUCCGAGUUGUAAUUUGUAGAGGAUGCUUCUGAGUGGCCACCGACCUAAGUUCCUUGGAACAGGACGUCAUAGAGGGUGAGAAUCCCGUAUGCGGUCGGAAAGGCGCUCUAUACGUAGCUCCUUCGAC